GUCCCUGGUCAUGCUGAAUCAUGGUAACGCACUACUUAUUUUCAAUUUUUUAUGGUGCUAUACUUGCUACAAUUCUCUACAUACACAGGGAUAUAUCCACUGAGAUUUCUUCUUAGUUAAGCUAGCAUUUUGCAUAUAGUUCAUAAUCGUGCAGCAAUUAGAAGGCAUAUAAAUUAGUGCAUUUUGAUCACUCUGAUCUUUAUUGUAGAAUAAAUAGGAUACUCGGCUCUUUUUUGGGAGUUUUAUCUCUUGUGCAAACUGGGUCUGCAGAAUGGGAACUUUAAAGUUUUUCCUUUAACUAAUUUAUUUCUUUGGCGAUUACCCGAACUUGACAUAUGGGGAAUUUAAGGAGUCAAAAGCACUUGUGAUGUGGAACCACAAAAACAUUCAAAAGGGGAAAAGAAAUAAACUCUCAAGAUUAUAUUAAUUCUCAAUUUCAAUUAUCAUAAGCUCUAGAAAACGAAGGCACGGAAGCGCGGGGGCAAGCAAAUUGGGCAUUUUAAAUUUAAAAAAAAAAACCUAAGUUUUAUACAUCACAUGCAAUCCAAUUUCAUUCUAAUCAACAUGCAACAUUAUCAAAUGGUCACAACCAUUGUGACGCAAUU
rnacentral:misc_RNA from 1 species